GAUGAACGCUGGCGGCGUGCCUAAUACAUGCAAGUCGAGCGAAGCGGGGACGGGUGAGUAACACGUGGAUAACCUCCUAUAAGACUGGGAUAACUUCGGGAAACCGGAGCUAAACCGGAUACGUAUAGAUUGAUCCGCGUGGAAUUAGCUAGUUGGUAGGGUAACGGCUUACCAGGGCAACGAUGCAGAGCCGACCUGAGAGGGGGAGCGGCCGCACUGGAACUGAGACACGGUCCAGACUCCUACGGGAGGCAGCAGUAGGGAAUCUGCCGAAAUGGGCGAAAGCCUGACGGAGGAACGCAGCGUGAGUGAUGAAGGUCUUCGGAUCGUAAAACUCUGUUAUUAGGGAAGCGGUACCUAUUCAGAAAGCCCCGGCUAACUACGUGCCAGCAGCCGCGGUAAUAC
rnacentral:rRNA from 1 species